UGGGCAAGCAGUCAUCUAUUCUUAUGGACAUGCUUGUAUUUGAGAUUUAUCACCUUUCCUUGACUAAAAUGUCUUUUUAAAAAUUCUAAAGCAUAUUUAAUUUAAAUUUUCAAACCUAACACUUCAUUUUUGGCUACUUAUUAGGGAAAGUUAUACAAAAAUUUCAAAAAUACAUCCCCCACCACCAUAGAAUGGACAACUUUUUCGCACUGACUUUUGUUGUGGGCUGUCUGGUUGGAUUUUUAUUCGGCAAACACCAUAAGUAAAACGAUAAGCUCCAAGAGAUAACAUUCUCUUGCUGGAGCCUAUAAGUAUUGUACUUCUUAUACACGAAAAUGGAUGUGGACUUUCUGAUAACCUUCUUAGUUGGCUUGUUGGUGGGAUACAUAAUAGCCAAACACGCAUAAUCCAACUUGGAAUGGACCAAAGAGCCCCUUGAAAAUAUUGUUCAAAAUUCACUUGCUUGGUUAAGGUCAACAUCUGGAUAUUGCUCCCAUUCUCCAGGGCAUAUCAUAUUCUGGACAUUUUCCGCCAUAAUAUAAAUCUUCAGGUUCAGAAUCCAGAAAGCAAAAUGACUCACGUAAUCUCCUUUGCCUUGGGGAUAAUCAUUGGAAUGAUGUCUUGCCGAAAAUGUUAAACUGAGCUGGCAACUGGUAACAGAAAUUCAAAUUAGAUAUUCCAAAGUAGGCUUGUACUUCGCAAUCAUUCACAAAUAUAUCUUUCCCAAGUCACAUCUAUACAAUUUUCUUGGAGCUACAAGUUUUACUCUCAACUUAUACGAAAUGGAUUUGGACUGGGUCAUAACGUUUGUAGUUGGAAUUUUGGUUGGAUACUUAUUAGCCAAGAAUACCUAAACAAUCCCGAAAUAGAUGGAUCGAAGUGCACUUGGAAAAUAUUUUUAAAAUUUAUUUUGCUUGGCGAGGGUCAACAUCUGUUUAUCUCACACUCUCCUAAGCCUAUCAAGUCCAGACUCCAACAACGCAAGUCAGUCAGGAUCAACAGGAUCAAGCAGCAGGAAGAAAAAUGACUCCCGUAAUCUCCUUCGCCUUGGGUGUAAUAGUUGGAAUGCUGAGUUGCCGAAAAUGUUGACCUGAGCCGUUUAUUGACCGAGCUUAAUUGGAAAAAUUUCUAAAGUUGACAUGAAUAAAUAAACACUGAAAAGUGCUUAAAAUAUAUCUUCUUUUUUUCUUCAAAACACUUUAAAAUAGUAUAGUCCUUUCUGAAAGGAAGAAACUAGUUUUUAUAGCGAAGAAGUUGGUAUUUUAGGGAGAUUCCUCAUAGAGGUCUGGACAUUGGGCACUAAAUAAAAAUUUCAUGACAAAAAUAGGAAAUCUAGUAAGCCUGUUUAUUUUGUUUACAAAAAAGUUACAAAUCGGUUUUGUUUUUUAACACUGACGCAGUCCGGAUAAAUAGUCCGAAGUCCUUCAAUAAUACACUCCUCCGAUCAUGUUUCCUGAAAAGAAAGACACGGACUGGCUUCUGACCCUCAUUGUUGGCAUAAUCGUGGGCUAUUUAAUUGCCACACACAACGAAUAGAAGAAAAGAUGGAAAAGAAGCAAGUACAAAUGAAAUAAAAUUCAAGUAGAAACCUCAAAUCCAAGUAGGCAUGCUGUUUAUGGCUAUGGAGAGUACGAAAUAGAUUCAUCAUUCCAUAAUCUACUUUCUUCUCGGAACAACGUCAAAAUUUUCCGUUCUCGGACUUAAAAAUUUUUAAAGGGACAUGCAGAGGUUCAUAACAUUUAUUGUUGGUGGAAUUUGCGGUUAUUUGCUUGCCAAGAACAGAUAACUUGCAAUGAUCCACAUUAUUGCCUUUGGUUUGGGCGUGGUGUGUGGCAUGUUCGUAUGCCGACGCUGCGAGCCCUGAGAACAGAUGUCCUGCAUAGAGAGUCCAUUUAACAGACUUUUGUUCCUUUUUAUCUAAUAAAAUGAGAAGGCUGCUGUAAAACCAA